UUGGACAUUUUUUAAGAUCCUCUUUAAUCUCUGUGGUCGGCUUAAAAGCAGAGACCGUAACUGUUAUAACUUUUAAAGUAACUUGGUACUCGAAGAGUAAAUAGGAUAUAUUGUAUUUGUGGGGAAUAACGGUUGUAUGCAACGCACAGAAGGAAACGUUUCUGAACCCAUAAAGUAUAUAUAUUCUUGAUCAGCAUCAAUAGCCGAGUCGAUUGAGCCAUGUCUGUCUGUCCGUCCGUCCUUAUGAGCGCCUGGAUCUCAGAGACUAUAAAAGCUAGAGCCACCAAAUUUUGCAUCCAAACCUAAAAAUUUGAUCUUCAAAAAGAAAACUAAAGACGCCAGGAAAUGACCAUAUCUAUCAGAUCACCAAAUUGGGAUCCGAUUGGAACAUUAUUAUAGCCACAAUAAAGAAAUUAAUUUGCAGUGGCUACACCCACCCUGUCCCGCAGCUUUUGUUGUUAUUUUUUCACAUUCUCUCAUUCACACUCUGCUUCCUGCAGUGUGCGGCAGCUGCCUCUGCCUCGUCUCUGCCUCUGCAGUGUUUGGCUCUACGGAAGGGGGGCGAGCUAAAGGAGCGUGUUUUCGUGAGAAGUGUUGUAGAUGUAGAUGACAGAUGAAGACAACAUUUAAAAUUUGACAUAUAACGCUAGGGUACAGAUGUAGUUCUGAGUGCAGGGUAUAAGAGUUGUGACGCGUAAGAAGCGUCUCACACGUCC
rnacentral:lncRNA from 1 species